rnacentral:rRNA from 1 species
CACGGGGGGGAGCAAGCGUUGUUCGGAAUCACUGGGCGUAAAGGGCGUGCAGGCGGCCUGGUAAGUGGGAUGUGAAAUCCCUCGGCUCACCCGAGGACCGGCAUCCCAAACUGCCCGGCUUGAGUAUGGGAGAGGAUGAGGAAAUUCCUGGUGUAGCGGUGAAAUGCGUAGAUAUCAGGAGGAACACCGGUGGCGAAGGCGCUCAUCUGGCCCCAAUACUGACGCUGAGGCGCGAAAGCUAGGGGAGCAAACGGG